GCCGCGGCAGCCUAGCCUGGCUGGGCGCGGGACUGCAGCUAUCCCGUUACCCGGGUUCAAAUCCCGGCCGCGGCUCCA
rnacentral:tRNA from 1 species